CAACCUCUCAGCAACGCACAUCACAACACUGCAAGAACAGUUAAAGCCUCACUUCAGGGUGUUGCUCGCUGUGGCGACGGCAACAGAUGGAACAGCAGCAGCAGCAGGGCAGAGCCUGAGGGGACAGCUACAGCUUCAUUGUUGCGCACCACUGUUCCUGGCCUUUCUCGCUGAGCCCAGGCCUAGUCACGGCAUCUCCAGCUUCUGCUUCCAGCCAGACCACGGCUUCAUGGCUCGCUCCUCUCCAAUCAUGACACCAAGCAUGGUGGGAUAUCUGCCAGCUAAAUAAAUUUUCAUCUGCUCUCAGUAACUCUCAAAUAAUAAUAUCCCUCAAGCAUUAAUUACCCUUUGGGAAAUUGAUCAAAAUCAUGUUAGAUUAAACAUUUUGCAAAAAGGGAGGCAGCACAGAGGAGACACACAUGACCUUGAACCACCAUUCUACACAGUUUCACAGACAACAAAGGCACCUCUAAUCAUGACCGUAGAAAAUUAUGUACAUACAGAUUCAUGUUCAUACUCAGUGCUGCAGGGGCUGGCUUUUUGCUGGGUAUAUGCCUAAUGCUGUCGGCAUGAAGUCUCUGUGAGAAACUCUGCAGCUUUGCCAGACAGCUGCAUAAGGAAAGGGUGAUGCUCUUGUGAUCAUGCCAGGUGCCCUCCUUACUACCAGCUGGGCAGUUUAAGAAAUGUUAACUCACAUAGUUCAGCUACAACAGAAGAAAAAAAAAAAAAAAAUGAAAACAGCACAACAAAUUUUCAUUUCACAAAAAUAAACUGCAUCAUUAAUCUCUA